rnacentral:rRNA from 1 species
UUGGAGGGCAAGUCUGGUGCCAGCAGCCGCGGUAAUUCCAGCUCCAAUAGCGUAUAUUAAAGUUGUUGCAGUUAAAAAGCUCGUAGUUGAAUUUCGGGAUCAGUAAGCCGGUCGUACCUUCGGUAUGUACUGGUGUCACUGAUUCCUCCCUUCUGAUGAACCGUUAUACCAUUUAGUUGGUGUGGCGGGGAAUCAGGACUGUUACUUUGAGAAAAUUAGAGUGUUUAAAGCAAGCUCGCGCUUGAAUACAUUAGCAUGGAAUAAUAAAAUAGGACGUUUGAUCUCCUAUUUUGUUGGUUUCUAGGAUCGACGUAAUGAUUAAUAGGGAUAGUUGGGGGCAUUAGUAUUCAAUUGUCAGAGGUGAAAUUCUUGGAUUUAUUGAAGACUAACUACUGCGAAAGCAUUUGCCAAGGAUGUUUUCAUUAAUCAAGAACGAAAGUUAGGGGAUCGAAGACGACCAGAUACCGUCGUAGACUUAACCAUAAACUAUGCCGACUAGGGAUCGGAUGAUGUUAAUUAUUAUAACUCAUUCGGCGCCUUACGGGAAAC